rnacentral:rRNA from 1 species
GCGAGUGGCGGACGGGUGAGUAAUAUAUCGGAACGUGCCCAGUAGCGGGGGAUAACUACUCGAAAGAGUGGCUAAUACCGCAUACGCCCUACGGGGGAAAGGGGGGGAUCGCAAGACCUCUCACUAUUGGAGCGGCCGAUAUCGGAUUAGCUAGUUGGUGGGGUAAAGGCUCACCAAGGCAACGAUCCGUAGCUGGUUUGAGAGGACGACCAGCCACACUGGGACUGAGACACGGCCCAGACUCCUACGGGAGGCAGCAGUGGGGAAUUUUGGACAAUGGGGGAAACCCUGAUCCAGCCAUCCCGCGUGUAUGAUGAAGGCCUUCGGGUUGUAAAGUACUUUUGGCAGAGAAGAAAAGGUACCUCCUAAUACGAGGUACUGCUGACGGUAUCUGCAGAAUAAGCACCGGGCUAACUACGUGCCAGCAGCCGCGGUAAUACGUAGGGUGCAAGCGUUAAUCGGAAUUACUGGGCGUAAAGCGUGUGUAGGCGGUUCGGAAAGAAAGAUGUGAAAUCCCAGGGCUCAACCUUGGAACUGCAUUUUUAACUGCCGAGCUAGAGUAUGUCAGAGGGGGGUAGAAUUCCACGUGUAGCAGUGAAAUGCGUAGAUAUGUGGAGGAAUACCGAUGGCGAAGGCAGCCCCCUGGGAUAAUACUGACGCUCAGACACGAAAGCGUGGGGAGCAAACAGGAUUAGAUACCCUGGUAGUCCACGCCCUAAACGAUGUCAACUAGCUGUUGGGGCCGUUAGGCCUUAGUAGCGCAGCUAACGCGUGAAGUUGACCGCCUGGGGAGUACGGUCGCAAGAUUAAAACUCAAAGGAAUUGACGGGGACCCGCACAAGCGGUGGAUGAUGUGGAUUAAUUCGAUGCAACGGGGAAAACCUUACCUACCCUUGACAUGUCUGGAAAGCCGAAGAGAUUUGGCCGUGCUCGCAAGAGAACCGGAACACAGGUGCUGCAUGGCUGUCGUCAGCUCGUGUCGUGAGAUGUUGGGUUAAGUCCCGCAACGAGCGCAACCCUUGUCAUUAGUUGCUACGCAAGAGCACUCUAAUGAGACUGCCGGUGACAAACCGGAGGAAGGUGGGGAUGACGUCAAGUCCUCAUGGCCCUUAUGGGUAGGGCUUCACACGUCAUACAAUGGUCGGGACAGAGGGUCGCCAACCCGCGAGGGGGAGCCAAUCUCAGAAACCCGAUCGUAGUCCGGAUCGCAGUCUGCAACUCGACUGCGUGAAGUCGGAAUCGCUAGUAAUCGCGGAUCAGAAUGUCGCGGUGAAUACGUUCCCGGGUCUUGUACACACCGCCCGUCACACCAUGGGAGUGGGUUUCACCAGAAGUAGGUAGCCUAACCGUAAGGAGGGCGCUACCACGUGAUACGGG